GACGUAGGGGGCAAGCGUUGUUCGGAAUUAUUGGGCGUAAAGCGCUCGUAGGCGGGACAGGAAGUUCGUGUUGAAAGACCUCGGCUCAACUGAGGGACCGGCUCGAAUACUCUUGUUCUUGAGGCAAUCAGAGGGUGAUGGAAUUCCCGGUGUAGCGGUGAAAUGCGCAGAUAUCGGGAGGAACACCGGUGGCGAAGGCGGUUCUCUGGGCCUGUACUGACGCUGAGGAGCGAAAGCGUGGGGAGCGAACAGG
rnacentral:rRNA from 1 species